UUUACGUUACCGUCUGGUAUUGUUGUGGAUAAAGCAGUUAUCAUUAGACAUUUACUCAACAGUGCCACGGAUCCUUUCAAUCGGCAGCCGCUUAGCAAAGAUAUGCUCGUGCCAAUGCCCGAUUUGAAAGAAAGAAUAUCAAUAUGGAAACAACAAAAGAAACAGUCCUAAGAUGACAAGAAUUAUGCACAUAAAAAUAAGAAUAUAGGGAAGGAA